rfam:Triticum urartu cultivar G1812 contig188531, whole genome shotgun sequence.
UAUAUACUCCCUCCGUUCCAAAUUACUUGUCUUAGAUUUGUGUAGAUACGGAGGUAUCUCGCACUAAAAUGAGUCUAGAUACAUCCGUAUCUAGACAAAUCCAAGACAAGUAAUUCGGAACGGAGGAAGUAGGAU